UGUAACGGGUAUUAGAUAUACAGAUGAAAUUCCUGCUAAAAUAUGUUUCACAGUUAUCCUGUAAUUGGUGGUUUUUGGCGCCCCCUACUGGUUACCUAUAAAUUGGAUGAGAAACCAAAAAUUCCACACAGUUGGUUCAGCGCUCUGUUGUGGUAAGUCAACAAAUCCGGUUCUCUUCUAAAUGGUGUUGGAGGUUUGUUCAGGAGGGUGACUGGAAUCUUUGUUGCAUUGCACAGAGCCAUAGGUUGACCGGUAGAGAGGCUCACUGCGCCAUAUGUGUUUUAUCAACCACUGAUUACAGAUUGCAAUAAAUCAUCUAAAAACCAACCAACCGGUCUCCGAGUGUGCAUAACAGGACGGACGGGUAAAGACAGAGCUGUUACAUAAGUAUUUAU